GACAGAGGGUGCAAACGUUGUUCGGAAUUACUGGGCGUAAAGCGCGUGUAGGCGGCUAUGCAAGUCGGAUGUGAAAUCCCUCGGCUUAACCGGGGAACUGCGUCUGAUACUGGAUGGCUUGAGAUUGGGAGAGGGAUGCGGAAUUCCAGGUGUAGCGGUGAAAUGCGUAGAUAUCUGGUGGAACACCGGUGGCGAAGGCGGCAUCCUGGACCAACACUGACACUGAGGAGCGAAAGCCAGGGGAGCAAACGGG
rnacentral:rRNA from 1 species